rnacentral:rRNA from 1 species
AACGAACGCUGGCGGCAGGCCUAACACAUGCAAGUCGAACGGCAGCACGGUCUAGCUUGCUAGACGGGUGGCGAGUGGCGAACGGGUGAGUAACGCGUAGGAAUAUACCUUGAAGUGGGGGACAACCUGGGGAAACUCAGGCUAAUACCGCGUAAUCUCUUCGGAGGGAAGCUGGGGACCGCAAGGCCUGGCGCUCUAAGAUUAGCCUGCGUCCGAUUAGCUAGUUGGUGGGGUAAGGGCCUACCAAGGCGACGAUCGGUAGCUGGUCUGAGAGGAUGAUCAGCCACACUGGGACUGAGACACGGCCCAGACUCCUACGGGAGGCAGCAGUGGGGAAUAUUGGACAAUGGGGGCAACCCUGAUCCAGCAAUGCCGCGUGUGUGAAGAAGGCCUGAGGGUUGUAAAGCACUUUCGGCGGGGAGGAGGGCAGAUUGGUUAAGAGCUGAUUUGUUGGACGUUACCCGCAUAAGAAGCACCGGCUAACUCCGUGCCAGCCGCCGCGGUAACAC